rnacentral:lncRNA from 1 species
UACAAGAUAUCCUAAUACAAUAUACUAUAAUUAAAUAAUGUAAUAUAGCGUGUCAAACAUAUCAUAAUGGCUAACUUCUCCUUUCUCUCAUAACUCUCCUUAAAUUUGUUUUAAAAAAUUUAAUUAAUUAUUUAUGUGAGCCAUUGAGUAAUGAUAACCCUCGCCCUCAACAUAUGUUGAAGGCAUAGAUUUAAGUCUCUAUGAAGAUGUUAUUUUUUCAAAUUCUAUAAAACAAAACCUCUCUUCAUUCAUAAGACUAGAUUUCUGUGAUAAUAUUCAAUACAACUCUAAAUCAUGUUAACAAAAUAUUUAUAUAUAAACUCUAAUAUAUUUUAGAUUGUAUAUAUUUAAUAGGCAAUAACAUCAUCGAUCAAAACUUUUUCUAUCUAAAAAUUUUUCUGCAGUCAAAUCAAGUCCCCAUCAAUAAGAUGCUUAACCGACACUCGAAAUUCCAUGAAUCAUUCAUGGAGUAUCGAAAGGUCAUUUCACAUUGAGGCCCCAUAGGCAUUUGCCUAUACCAAAACAGCACUUUCCCUGUUUGACCUUUUCUUUUUCGUUGUCCUCAAAAUGCACAAAAUUCACAAAUUUUCGUCACCAUGCCAUGCCACAAGCCCACUUCUAUCGACAAGAAUAGGCUCGUCUUUAUUUUGUCCCUCCUAAGCUUGUUUUACGUUCGUCCAAGCACAUAUUAAAAUUUACACAUUAGUCGAAAAUGAAAUGAAAAAAAUUACUAACAAUAACAAAAAGGUGGGCUCUACUCUAUAGUCAUAAAUAUACCACAAUUUUUAUACUACUGGACAUUUGGUUUGUUUCUGCUUGGUAGCAAAACGCUCCACCUAUUAAUUUGUUCCAUUAAUUAAUUUGUUGCCAUCAGUAAUUAGAAGAAGGGAUUGAGAUUUAAUUUUGAAACAUGCUUUAAAGUUAAAAAAGAGAUGAAACGUAAACACGAAUAAUCAAAAAAAGACGACAGCCAGUCAGCCACCACAAGACAAACUCCUUUCUGUCCUGGUACGGUACAUCUGUCGUGGCCACUGGCCACGCGCAUUUUUCUACGUAGCCCUGCUCCUCGAACGACGCGUGUAUCCACGCUGAACGGAAGCACGUUCUGUAUAAGUCACAGCCAGGUGUCUUUAGCAUGCGCAUGCGUUGAGACGCUCCCUUCUAAAAUUCACCGUUUCACCGCUAGGCUUCGGCUUUUGUUGAUUUUCACUUAGCUUAAUGAAAAUAGUAUUUUAUCCAACAAUCUGAAUGUAUAUACUUACGGCUAUGUGUGUGCGUGUGUGUAUACAAUUUAACCGAAAUUUUUCCAGGCAAUGGAACAAAAUUCAUGUGGUUGUAAAAUGGAGAAAAGUAAAUGGAAGGAAAAUUCAAAAGAUCUCUUGAAAGCUGUGAAUGGUCAAAUUGGGAGAAAGAAUCCAAUGACGCCCCCUCUCCAACUAACCCCCCCCACCCAAAAAAAAAAAAGAAGAGGAAACACUUGAUCCUGUCCAUUUAGGCAUUACGGCAAAAGUACAGUUUACCCCCUCAACCGUUAGAAAUUAAUAUAAGCUUUUUUUUCUUAACA